rnacentral:rRNA from 1 species
AGUGAACGCUGGCGGCAGGCCUAACACAUGCGAGUCGAGCGGCAGCGGGUCCUUCGGGCUGCCGGCGAGCGGCGGACGGGUGAGGAAUGCGUCGGAAUCUGCCUUUUUGUGGGGGAUAACGUAGGGAAACUUACGCUAAUACCGCAUACGACCUACGGGUGAAAGUGGGGGACCGCAAGGCCUCACGCAGAAAGAUGAGCCGACGUCGGAUUAGCUAGUUGGCGGGGUAAAGGCCCACCAAGGCGACGAUCCGUAGCUGGUCUGAGAGGAUGAUCAGCCACACUGGAACUGAGACACGGUCCAGACUCCUACGGGAGGCAGCAGUGGGGAAUAUUGGACAAUGGGCGCAAGCCUGAUCCAGCCAUGCCGCGUGUGUGAAGAAGGCCUUCGGGUUGUAAAGCACUUUUGUCCGGAAAGAAAUCCUGUCGGCUAAUACCCGGCGGGGAUGACGGUACCGGAAGAAUAAGCACCGGCUAACUUCGUG